rnacentral:rRNA from 1 species
UACGAAGGGGGCUAGCGUUGUUCGGAAUUACUGGGCGUAAAGCGCGCGCAGGCGGUCCUUUAAGUCAGGGGUGAAAGCCCAGAGCUCAACUCUGGAACGGCCUUUGAAACUAGAGGACUUGGGUACGGGAGAGGUGAGUGGAAUUCCGAGUGUAGAGGUGAAAUUCGUAGAUAUUCGGAAGAACACCAGUGGCGAAGGCGGCUCACUGGCCCGUUACCGACGCUCAGGCGCGACAGCGUGGGGAGCAACAGG